GAAAAAGCGUUGACGGGAAAUAGUAAGAAGCCCCUCUUUCUCAGAGAGCCGAUGGUUGGUGAGAAUCGGUGAAAGAUGCAUUCUGAAUCCAUCCUUGAGCGAAAUGCUGAAACACGAAGUAAGCAUUUACGGUGAUGCCGUUACAGAGGAAAGAGGAAAGCAUGCUUUUGGCGUGUUUUCAAUCAGGGUGGCAACGCGAGAGCUCUCGUCCCUUUC
rnacentral:ncRNA from 2 species